rnacentral:rRNA from 1 species
AUUGAACGCUGGCGGCAUGCUUUACACAUGCAAGUCGAACGGCAGCACGGACUUCGGUCUGGUGGCGAGUGGCGAACGGGUGAGUAAUACAUCGGAACGUACCCAGUAAUGGGGGAUAACUAUCCGAAAGGAUAGCUAAUACCGCAUACGCCCUACGGGGGAAAGAGGGGGAUCGCAAGACCUCUUGUUAUUGGAGCGGCCGAUGGCUGAUUAGCUAGUUGGUAGGGUAAAGGCCUACCAAGGCAACGAUCAGUAGCGGGUCUUAGAGGACGAUCCGCCACACUGGAACUGAGACACGGGCCAGACUCCUACGGGAGGCAGCAGUGGGGAAUCUGGGACAAUGGGCACAAGCCUGAUCCAGCAAUGCCGCGUGCGUGAAGAAGGCCUUCGGGUUGUAAAGCGCUUUUGUCAGGGAGCAAAUCCUUGUGGCUAAUACCCACCGGGGAUGAGAGUACCUGAAGAAUAAGGACCGGCUAACUACGUGCCAGCCGCCGCGGUAACAC